rnacentral:rRNA from 1 species
CUACGGGGUGCAGCAGUGGGGAAUAUUGCACAAUGGGCGCAAGCCUGAUGCAGCCAUGCCGCGUGUAUGAAGAAGGCCUUCGGGUUGUAAAGUACUUUCAGCGGGGAGGAAGGGAGUAAAGUUAAUACCUUUGCUCAUUGACGUUACCCGCAGAAGAAGCACCGGCUAACUCCGUGCCAGCAGCCGCGGUGGAAUACGGAGGGUGCAAGCGUUAAUCGGAAUUACUGGGCGUAAAGCGCACGCAGGCGGUUUGUUAAGUCAGAUGUGAAAUCCCCGGGCUCAACCUGGGAACUGCAUCUGAUACUGGCAAGCUUGAGUCUCGUAGAGGGGGGUAGAAUUCCAGGUGUAGCGGUGAAAUGCGUAGAGAUCUGGAGGAAUACCGGUGGCGAAGGCGGCCCCCUGGACGAAGACUGACGCUCAGGUGCGAAAGCGUGGGGAGCAAACAGGAUUAGAUACCCCCGUAGUC